rnacentral:rRNA from 1 species
AUUGAACGCUGGCGGCAGGCCUAACACAUGCAAGUCGAGCGGGUGGCGGACGGGUGAGUAAUGUAUGGGAAUCUGCCUGAUGGAGGGGGAUCACUACUGGAAACGGUUGCUAAUACCGCAUACCAUCGGAUGUGCCCAGAUGGGAUUUGCUAGUAGGUGGGGUAAAGGCUCACCUAGGCGACGAUCCCUAGCUGGUCUGAGAGGAUGACCAGUCACACUGGAACUGAGACACGGUCCAGACUCCUACGGGAGGCAGCAGUGGGGAAUAUUGCACAAUGGGCGCAAGCCUGAUGCAGCCAUGCCGCGUGUAUGAAGAAGGCCUGCGGGUUGUAAAGUACUUUCAGUGGGGAGGCGUUACCAACAGAAGAAGCACCGGCUAACUCCGUGCCAGCAGCCGCGGUAAUAC